AUUGGAAGAAAGCUCUUAAGAAAAAAAUAAUCUCAGAAGAGCUCCAAUUGCAUUGGCAAAGAAGUCACAAGGAACCAUUAGUUAUGGCAGGUGGCAGACCCCUGACAGACCUCAAUGGCCCCAACCAGCCUCACCUGGGCCCACACCCCCACCUAUUUAAGACUAGCCUCAGCUCUUUCUUCCUUUCCUGAGCUGUGUUGGUGGUGAGCCCAUCUACAGGUCUUCUGGCCCUGCUUCCUGGAGGGGCCUUGGACCUUUGCUGGACCUCAGUCCUUCCUGGCUCCUGCUGCUCCUUACUGGACCCUGGACUUAGUUCAUUUUUGGCUAUGACUGGGACAGCUGGUGGACCCUGUUACCAGAACCUGGCUCUGCUUGCUGUGUCCAGGUGCUCUGGGACUGCUCCUGCUGAUAACUCCUAGCUGGAAGGAGAUGCAAGCUCCGGUGAGAAGUGAAACACAAAGGAACCCGGAGGGACUGGAGCUGUGGGCAGGAAGCGACAAUGCAAACCAGCCCCUGAUGAAUGCAGUUUCUCUCUUGUGGGAGAAUAACCCCAAAGCUGAAUUCAAUGGGAGUGAAACACCUGGAGAGCAAUAGCCUUGGGCAGAAAGCACUCGGUGUACCAGGCGAUCCUUGUGGCUGCUGUGUGCAGCAGUCACCCGAAGAGGUGGGGUGUGGUUGGGGAGCAGCCUUUCCUCAGGCUCCUGCCUCCCGUCUGCAAGGGGCAGGGAGCAUGGGAGCCUGGCACGGAGUGUGGGGACCCAGCGUGCAGCUCCUCAGGCCACCCCACUCCUUGUGACAGCGGCACCUUGCUGAGGGACAUGUCCAGGGCUCAAGGGACACAGCCUAUAGCAAAACAGCCAUCUGAUGGCAUGACGGUCACCCUGGGUUUGUUCACUUGGUCUCUGUCAAAGUCACUGCCUCCAACUCCGUCACCCUGAUGUGGACUUGGAGAGGCCACCAACUUCUUGCUGCCCAGGCUGUGAAGACCAGUGACCGACCUCUCCUGAUCUAUUUUCAGGACUUGUGUUUUUCACGUGUUAGAUCAGCCCUGUGGAAAUCUACUAUUGCCUUCUGAUUUCCACUGAAUUCGUGCCAUUAGCAGAGCACUCCUCUGAAGUGUCUCUGAGCUGGUCCACCUGAGCUCGUCCUCCUGGGACUCAGUGUCCCCACUGCUAUGACAUGUCCCUCACACCCUGUCCUUCCAAAGGACCAGAGGAAGACUCCCUGUGUGUGUCUUGGUGAAGGAGGGGGUGGCCCCGGGGUGCUUGGCAGCUCUGACCUUGCAGGUACGGUGUAUGGGAUCAGUCACAUUCCCUGGUGUGGCCCCAUUUCACCAGGGGUGGAUGAGUCCUCAGUCGGGGUGAAACAGGGAGAUGUGUGUGGAGCUGGGGCCUCAACUUUUCUGCAGGGCUGGAGGAGCGGAUUUAUUUACAUGGGGUAAAGGGCUAUGGAAGAGAGGUGUGCUGCCUGUCAGUUCAUUAUAGCAGGAGCACCAGCCAGUGUUUUGGGAGACCUCAGCUCCCUCUUCUGCUCCUGUAAUUGUGAAAUCCGUUUCCAGCAGCCCUCCUGGGAUGAGCCGCAUAGGUAGUGAGGGCUUAGCAUGCCGUAAUGUGCAUGCGGAAACGGCUGCCCUCCCGAGGCUGCGCAANNNNNNNNNNNNNNNNNNNNAUAGUAAAACAGCCAUCUGAUGGCAUGACGGUCACCCUGGGUUUGUUCACUUGGUCUCUGUCAAAGUCACUGCCUCCAACUCCGUCACCCUGAUGUGGACUUGGAGAGGCCACCAACUUCUUGCUGCC
ensembl:lncRNA